AAACGGUGCCCUUUGAGAGUGGCUCCUGGUGGUGGGGAACCGCAAGCUCUUUCACCACAUUAAGGUUAGGGAUGAGGUCUCCCUGGCUAAAUUCGACGGCUGAAGGCGGGCUACGUCCCGAAUCAAUCGUCGGUUGUCACCGGAGGCGAUUAGGACUACCCCACGCUAUGGUUUCAUCGCCCUGACCACCUCCCCCAAUAGGCUCAACUCUUUCCGGCAAGGGUGACAAAAAGCUGGGAGCAAAUUCAAGGAAUGACUGUCGUCAACUUAGAAGACAAAGAAGACCUCAAGUUGCAGCAGAAAUGGAAAAGAUGAGUUCAGACAUCAACUAGGAAGAACCUUUUUUUUAAUGAGUAAAUAUGUCGAUGUUAUUAUUAUCCAACCAGAGAAUUUGAUAGAGAAUCUGACUGAAAGCUGAGAAGCUUUUCCCACUCCAAACAGUCAAGACUACAUCAACCAAGUUCUGCAGGAACUGUUGGAGCUGAUGAUGGGUUUUUUUGUUGACUCAGAAGACAAGUUGGUGAAGCUUCUAUUUCCUGUUCUCUCGGGAGUCACAUAGCUGGAAGCGUCAGAUCCACACGUGUGGGCCUCACACAUUUGGGCUGUGACCGGCCACGUCACUGCCCAAGAAAUUGACCAUAUCUGAAUAGGACAACUCGUCCAACUCAUCCUGCAUUGGAGGCAGCUGAUAAAGACUCCAUUAAAAGCCUCCCAUUUCGUGCACAUCCAGAGCUGCCAAUCUCGAAUGAACCUGACCAUAUUUCCGGCCACGUUAAUGGAAGAAACCAAGCGGUCCUGUCCAAGGCGGCCGCCACAUUGGUCAACCCAAUGACUUGCUCUGCUGACCCCACCCUGCCUCAGCCAAUGAAAACUCGAUGCGAGAUUCAUAAAGUAUAGAGUAGGAGAGCAUUGCCUCCGUUUCAAACGAGGGGAAGGAUGCAUUUGCGGAGCGCGGCCUUCUCUGCCGCUCGUCCUCCGCUGCCGAUGCUGAGGGCCGGCAGUAAUCUGCCUGAUGGUGGUCAUUGUAGCGUACCAACCGUCUCCUCCUCAUCCUCUUCUUCUUUCUCGACGGAUCUGCCACCGUUUCUCCCGCGGAUCCGUCCACUAUCCUGCCGUCCUACGCGUUUCUUCCUCACGCCUCGCUUGGCCAACCAGAAAUCCUCGCUCGGUCUCACCACUGUGGUGAAGGCUGCAGAAGACGUCGCCGCCGCCGCGGCCGGGGGCACGGAGAACCAUGGCGAGGCUGCGGUCUCCUCAUAUGGUUCGAGUUCCACGAGCGGGAUGGUGAAGAAGCUGCAGCUGGGGUUCCUAUUCGGCCUCUGGUAUCUUUUCAACAUCUAUUUCAACAUCUACGACAAACAGGUUCUGAAGGUAUAUCCAUUCCCAAUAACCAUCACGACAUUCCACUUCGCCAUAGGGACUGUGCUUAUUUGGUUGAUGUGGGUGACUAAUCUAUACAAGAGGCCUAAGAUCUCUUCUAAACAGCUUGCAGCAAUUGUUCCCUUGGCUAUCGUGCACACUUUGGCAAACCUUUUCACAAACAUGAGUCUCGGAAAAGUUGCUGUUUCAUUCACUCACACAAUAAAGGCACUUGAGCCAUUUUUCACGGUAGUUCUUUCUGCCAUGUUCCUUGGAGAGCUGCCUACUCUAUGGGUUUUGAUUUCUCUUGUUCCAAUUGUUGGCGGUGUUGCUAUGGCAUCUCUAACUGAAGCUUCAUUCAACUGGGCUGGAUUUUGGAGCGCAAUGGCAUCCAACCUUACCAAUCAAUCUCGUAAUGUUCUCAGCAAAAAGAUCAUGGAUAAAGAUGAGGAAACGAUGGACAACAUUACUCUCUUCUCAAUAAUUACAGUCAUGUCAUUUUUCCUGUUAGCGCCUGUAUCCCUAUUGGUUGAAGGAAUAAAAUUUACUCCAUCAUACAUGCGGUUUGCUGGUCUGAAUCUCAAAGAGGUAUAUGUGAGAUCGUUCCUUGCUGGUGUUUGUUUUCAUGCUUAUCAACAGGCUUCAUACAUGAUAUUAGCCGAAGUAUCACCUAUCACACACUCCGUUGGAAACUGCGUUAAACGCGUGGUGGUUAUAAUCUCGUCAGUUCUCUUUUUCAGGACACCAGUUUCACCUCUUAAUUCUAUUGGAACUGGAGUGGCACUCAUUGGUGUCUUCCUAUACUCGAGGGUGAAGAGAACCAAGUCCAAAUCUGCUUGAGACUUUGUUCUAGUGUUCCUGGUAGUGGCACCAUCUUUCCACCUCGAACAGUUUGGGAAGGCAGCAGGAUUUUGUGUUCUUUUCUGCUGGCUCCAUUGCCAAAGUGGCUUUUCAACAAAUACUUCUUCGACGAGGGAGGUAUAAUAUAAGCUACUGAUUCGGCGGACGAAACUUUGAGGAGAACUCUCGAAGUUGGAUCAGAUUCCACGAACCAUGAGGCAUUAGCGUUGGUUGGUGAUCAGAUCUUCUUCUUCUCGUCAUCGAUGCUGCUCUGCUGGUAGAGAUGUGAGAUUGAGACUUCGAGGCGGCAAGCGAGAUCUGCUGGUCCCAAAUUAACCAUGGAAGUAAUCUGAAGAG